GACGUAGGGGGCGAGCGUUGUCCGGAUUUAUUGGGCGUAAAGCGUGCGUAGGCGGCUGCGCAAGUCGGGUGUGAAACCCCGGGGCUCAACCCCGGAACUGCAUCCGAUACUGGGUGGCUAGAGGUAGGUAGGGGAGAUCGGAAUUCCUGGUGUAGCGGUGAAAUGCGCAGAUAUCAGGAGGAACACCGGUGGCGAAGGCGGAUCUCUGGGCCUUACCUGACGCUCAGGCACGAAAGCUAGGGGAGCGAACAGG
rnacentral:rRNA from 1 species